AAUCAACGCUGGCGGCGUGCCUCAGACAUGCAAGUCGAACGCGAAAGUCUCCUUCGGGGGACAAGUAGAGUGGCGCACGGGUGAGUAACACGUAGGUAAUCUACCUUCGGAUGGGGAAUAACAACCGGAAACGGUUGCUAAUACCGCAUAAUGCAGCGGCACCUAAUGGUGACAGUUGUUAAAGCGGGGGAUCGUAAGACCUCGCGUCUGAAGAGGAGCCUGCGGCGGAUUAGCUAGUUGGUAGGGUAACGGCCUACCAAGGCGACGAUCCGUAGCCGGCCUGAGAGGGCGGUCGGCCACACUGACACUGACAUACGGGUCAGACUCCUACGGGAGGCAGCAGUCGGGAAUUUUGGGCAAUGGGCGAAAGCCUGACCCAGCAACGCCGCGUGAAGGAUGAAAUCCCUCGGGAUGUAAACUUCGCAAGAACGGGAAGAAUAAGCGAGAGUAAAUACCUUUCGCGAUGACGGUACCGUUUGUAAGCUCCGGCUAACUCCGUGCCAGCCGCCGCCGUAAG
rnacentral:rRNA from 1 species